GACGAACGCUGGCGGCGUGCUUAACACAUGCAAGUCGAACGGGAACCGGCCUCUCGGGUGUGGCGCGAGUGGCGAACGGGUGAGUAACACGUGAGUAACCUGCCCCCUACUUUGGGAUAACGUCGGGAAAUCGGCGCUAAUACUGGAUAUUCUUGCUGCAUCGCAUGGUGUGGUUUGGGUAGGGUUUCUGGAGGGGGAUGGGCCCGCGGGCUAUCAGCUUGUUGGUGGGGUGACGGCCUACCAAGGCUUUGACGGGUAGCCGGCCUGGGAGGGUGUCCGGCGACACUGGGACGGAGAAACGGGCCAGACUCCUACGGCAGGCAGCAGUGGGGAAUAGCGGUGGAGGGGCGUAAGCAAGAUGCAGCGGCGCGAUGCGAGGGAGGCCGGUCGGGGGGUAGUGAACCUCGUUCAGUAUGGAACAAGGAUCGUUAUGUAGCGGGGUUUGAGGGUACGUACAGAAGAAGCGCCGGCUAACUACGUG
rnacentral:rRNA from 1 species